rnacentral:rRNA from 1 species
UACGUAGGGGGCAAGCGUUGUCCGGAUUUAUUGGGCGUAAAGAGCGUGUAGGCGGCCAUACAGGUCAGCUGUGAAACUCGAGGCUCAACCUCGAGACGUCGGUUGAAACCGUAUGGCUAGAGUCCGGAAGAGGAGAGUGGAAUUCCCGGUGUAGCGGUGAAAUGCGCAGAUAUCGGGGAGGAACACCGGUGGCGAAGGCGGUUCUCUGGGCCUUACCUGACGCUGAGGAGCGAAAGCGUGGGGAGCGAACAGG